GGAUAGCUCAGUCGGCUAGAGCGUGCUGCUGACAAUGCCAAGGUUGUAGGUUUGAUCCCUGAAAGGGACA
rnacentral:tRNA from 1 species